AAUUACUAAGAUGCAAAAAUAUCAAAAAUCUCAAUCUCCAAUCACAAAUGCACUUUAUAAAAAGCUAUAAACAAAAUAAUCUGUGCAAACUCACGGAAUGACAUUAUUCAUAAUAAAGGAAAUAACCAGUUAGGUUGUUCACAAGAGUGAUAGUUUGUUAUUGCAAUCGUGAUCUAUGUAGAUGAGAAUGGAACUAUUGAUGGUCAAGG
rnacentral:lncRNA from 1 species